rnacentral:rRNA from 1 species
AGCGUAAUCUUUUUUUAGAGUUCUAAUCGAUAGAAAGGGUUGCGACCUCGAUGUUGGAUUAAAAUUAAUUUGUGGUGCAGAAGCUACAAUAUUAAGUCUGUUCGACUUUUAAAAUUUUACAUGAUCUGAGUUUAGACCGGCGUGAGCCAGGUCGGCUUCUAUCUCGAUGAAAAAUUUUUAUCUUAGUACGAAAGGACCAGAUAAUUAAU